rnacentral:rRNA from 1 species
UACGUAGGUGGCGAGCGUUGUCCGGAAUUACUGGGUGUAAAGGGCGUGUAGGCGGGGAUGUAAGUCAGAUGUGAAAUACCGAGGCUUAACUUCGGGGCUGCAUCUGAAACUACGUUUCUUGAGUGUCGGAGAGGAAAGCGGAAUUCCCAGUGUAGCGGUGAAAUGCGUAGAUAUUGGGAGGAACACCAGUGGCGAAGGCGGCUUUCUGGACGAUAACUGACGCUGAGGCGCGAAAGCGUGGGGAGCAAAC